rnacentral:lncRNA from 1 species
CCAUGUCUACCUGACUCCUCAAUCGGGAUUUGGUGGAACCUCCUCCCAAAAAGGCAUUAGAAAGAACUGCCAAGCACAAAAUUUUGUUAAGAAAUGGCAACUUUUGGAACAGAGAGGCUUUCUGAAUAAAAAGAACCAGCCCCCUAGCAAGACACCCAAGUUGCACUCAGAACCUCCAAAGAAAGAGGAAACUCCUAGGGUGCAUGGCACUUGGAAGACCCCUCCCUUCCCAGAAAAGAAGGCAGCUGCCUCCAGCAGUGUGUCAGAAGAGUCCCUGGACAGGAAAGCUGCGGUGUCAUGGCUGUCCCCUGCCCCUUCAAAGAAUGCUGAUUCUGUUGCAGCUAAGUAGAUUUGCUGGAGGUGCCCUUCUAAAGAUUAACAGCCACCCGACCCACUCCCAGAAGAAAGGCCUCCAGAACAAAUCCUCUCAGCUCAGCGCCCCACAGAACUCUACCCAAGCUCACUCAGAAUAAAUGCUUUGGAGCAUCCCAGAAGUUGCCAAGGAAGAAUAGUGGCAAUUGGCUGUGAGAUGCUGGACACAGGACCCAAGGGGCAUGUUACUUUCUUGGUUCCAUGUAGCACUGUCAGCUACAGCGGAGAUGUGCUUCAUAACGAGUACAUCCUUCCCCCUGGCCACACUGUGGACUGCCAGACCAGGUGGAGUGGUGUCCAGAAGCAGCACAUGGUGAAUGCCAUGCUCUUCAAGAUUGCUCAUGGCAUAUAUUGAAGAUACAGGGAAGAUGGUGGUGGACAUGCCAUCCACAAUGACUUCAAAGCCCCAGUACUUUCAUCCCAAGUCCCUCACCAGUGACAACUCCCAUAUCCCCCUUCUCCUCCCCAACUGGAAGGCUGAUUGCCCAGUGAACGUCACCAUGUCUUUGAAGCAUCUCAUCAAGAAUCUGCUGAAUUGGGACAUCUGGGUUGGGAAAAUAGGCAUUCCUCUGUGGAAGACACCCAGGCUACCAUGGAGCUAUACAAAUUGGUUGAACUCAAGUGGGAAGAACACCUUGCCCAGAAUUCCCCGAAAGAC